rnacentral:tRNA from 1 species
GUCCCUGGAGGACUAGUGAUUAGGCCACAGCAUUCUCACUGCUGCAGCCUGGGUUCGAUUCCCAGCCAGGACU